rnacentral:rRNA from 1 species
GAUGAACGCUGGCGGCGUGCCUAAUACAUGCGAGUCGAGCGAACGGACGAGAAGCUUGCUUCUCUGAUGUUAGCGGCGGACGGGUGAGUAACACGUGGAUAACCUACCUAUAAGACUGGGAUAACUUCGGGAAACCGGAGCUAAUACCGGAUAAUAUUUUGAACCGCAUGGUUCAAAAGUGAAAGACGGUCUUGCUGUCACUUAUAGAUGGAUCCGCGCUGCAUUAGCUAGUUGGUAAGGUAACGGCUUACCAAGGCAACGAUGCAUAGCCGACCUGAGAGGGUGAUCGGCCACACUGGAACUGAGACACGGUCCAGACUCCUACGGGAGGCAGCAGUAGGGAAUCUUCCGCAAUGGGCGAAAGCCUGACGGAGCAACGCCGCGUGAGUGAUGAAGGUCUUCGGAUCGCAAAACUCUGUUAUUAGGGAAGAACAUAUGUGUAAGUAACUGUGCACAUCUUGACGGUACCUAAUCAGAAAGCCACGGCUAACUACGUG